AAAUUGAAGAGUUUGAUCAUGGCUCAGAUUGAACGCUGGCGGCAGGCCUAACACAUGCAAGUCGAACGGUAGCACAGAGAGCUUGCUCUCGGGUGACGAGUGGCGGACGGGUGAGUAAUGUCUGGGAAACUGCCUGAUGGAGGGGGAUAACUACUGGAAACGGUGGCUAAUACCGCAUAACGUCGCAAGACCAAAGAGGGGGACCUUCGGGCCUCUUGCCAUCAGAUGUGCCCAGAUGGGAUUAGCUGGUUGGUGAGGUAACGGCUCACCAAGGCGACGAUCCCUAGCUGGUCUGAGAGGAUGACCAGCCACACUGGAACUGAGACACGGUCCAGACUCCUACGGGAGGCAGCAGUGG
rnacentral:rRNA from 2 species